AACGAACGCUGGCGGCAUGCCUAACACAUGCAAGUCGAACGAGACCUUCGGGUCUAGUGGCGCACGGGUGCGUAACGCGUGGGAAUCUACCCUUGGGUUCGGAAUAACAGUUAGAAAUGACUGCUAAUACCGGAUGAUGACGAAAGUCCAAAGAUUUAUCGCCCAAGGAUGAGCCCGCGUAAGAUUAGCUUGUUGGUGGGGUAAUGGCCUACCAAGGCGACGAUCUUUAGCUGGUCUGAGAGGAUGAUCAGCCACACUGGGACUGAGACACGGCCCAGACUCCUACGGGAGGCAGCAGUGGGGAAUAUUGGACAAUGGGCGAAAGCCUGAUCCAGCAAUGCCGCGUGAGUGAUGAAGGCCUUAGGUUGUAAAGCUCUUUUACCAGGGAUGAUAAUGACAGUACCUGGAGAAUAAGCUCCGGCUAACUCCGUG
rnacentral:rRNA from 1 species